rnacentral:rRNA from 1 species
UGGGGAAUAUUGCACAAUGGGCGCAAGCCUGAUGCAGCCAUGCCGCGUGUAUGAAGAAGGCCUUCGGGUUGUAAAGUACUUUCAGUCGGGAGGAAGGUGGUAAGGUUAAUAACCUUAUCAAUUGACGUUACCGACAGAAGAAGCACCGGCUAACUCCGUGCCAGCAGCCGCGGUAAUACGGAGGGUGCAAGUGUUAAUCGGAAUUACUGGGCGUAAAGCGCACGCAGGCGGUUGAUUGAGUCAGAUGUGAAAUCCCCGGGCUUAACCCGGGAAUUGCAUCUGAUACUGGUCAGCUAGAGUCUUGUAGAGGGGGGUAGAAUUCCAUGUGUAGCGGUGAAAUGCGUAGAGAUGUGGAGGAAUACCGGUGGCAAAGGCGGCCCCCUGGACAAAGACUGACGCUCAGGUGCGAAAGCGUGGGGAGCAAACAGG